UACGUAGGGUGCAAGCGUUAAUCGGAAUUACUGGGCGUAAAGCGUGCGCAGGCGGUUGUGCAAGACAGAUGUGAAAUCCCUGGGCUUAACCUGGGAAUGGCAUUUGUGACUGCACGGCUAGAGUAUGUCAGAGGGGGGUAGAAUUCCACGUGUAGCAGUGAAAUGCGUAGAUAUGUGGAGGAAUACCGAUGGCGAAGGCAGCCCCCUGGGAUAACACUGACGCUCAUGCACGAAAGCGUGGGGAGCAAACAGG
rnacentral:rRNA from 1 species